AUCUCGGCUAAGAAAGGACAAGACAAAGUCAACGAGAGUUAGCUCAAAAAUUAUGGUUAAGUAAAGAUAGUACGUUGAAUCAGUAUCCCAAGACGAUCCCGAAUUCAUUAAGGUAAAGUAUGUUGAGUAUUGAUAAUGGCAUGUACUUAGGAUGUUUAAUGAGAGUCAUUUAGGUUGUAAAAGUAUUGAUGAAAUGAGUAAAUUAUGGUUGGCAA